rnacentral:rRNA from 1 species
AUUGAACGCUGGCGGCAGGCUUAACACAUGCAAGUCGAGCGGGGGAAGGUAGCUUGCUACCGGACCUAGCGGCGGACGGGUGAGUAAUGCUUAGGAAUCUGCCUAUUAGUGGGGGACAACAUCUCGAUAGGGAUGCUAAUACCGCAUACGUCCUACGGGAGAAAGCAGGGGAUCUUCGGACCUUGCGCUAAUAGAUGAGCCUAAGUCGGAUUAGCUAGUUGGUGGGGUAAAGGCCUACCAAGGCGACGAUCUGUAGCGGGUCUGAGAGGAUGAUCCGCCACACUGGGACUGAGACACGGCCCAGACUCCUACGGGAGGCAGCAGUGGGGAAUAUUGGACAAUGGGGGGAACCCUGAUCCAGCCAUGCCGCGUGUGUGAAGAAGGCCUUAUGGUUGUAAAGCACUUUAAGCGAGGAGGAGGCUACUCUAGUUAAUACCUAGGGAUAGUGGACGUUACUCGCAGAAUAAGCACCGGCUAACUCUGUGCCAGCAGCCGCCGUAAUAC